rnacentral:rRNA from 1 species
CGGUUUAAGCAUGUAGGCUGAUUGUCCAGGCAAAUCCGGAUAAUCAAGGCUGAGGUGUGAUGACGAGGCACUACGGUGCUGAAGUAACAAAUGCCCUGCUUCCAGGAAAAGCCUCUAAGCAUCAGGUAACAUCAAAUCGUACCCCAAACCGACACAGGUGGUCAGGUAGAGAAUACCAAGGCGCUUGAGAGAACUCGGGUGAAGGAACUAGGCAAAAUGGUGCCGUAACUUCGGGAGAAGGCACGCUGGUGUGUAGGUGAAGCCCCUGCGGGUGGAGCUGAGACCAGUCGAA